ensembl:lncRNA
CCUAAAUGGGGAUAAUUAGCGUCACUUUAUCACGCCUCUGCAUAUUUUCUCUGCGUCUCCCCCCUUCCCUAAAAAAAAUUACCAAGCAGCCUGCUCUCGUCGCCCGCUCUGUCACAGAAGAUUAUGGAGACAGAUUGCACAGAGCGAAUGUGCCGGGCGAGAUUAGCGCGGAAUAGAGAAAGCAACUGGGCCAAUGAAUUCCUCGGAAGGGCCUUAUCGUGCAAUUACACGUUGACAUGUUUAACAAUCUUGCUGCCUCUUAAUCCUGCAGUGCUGCUCUAUCUACCCACAGCUACCACGCUAUAUGCCGGCACACAGACCUAAUGCACCGAAACGCGGCACAAAUAUUUCACCGUUGCUGGAAUAGCAUCUGCACUGGAACUUUUUUUUUAAGAGAAGUGCUUCCACAAAGAGUUUCUUUCAUGGACUCUUCAAGACAAGCAAACUUAGUGUUGUUUGGCAGCAACAGUCAGACUAUUACAUGUGCUCCAGAGAGAAAAGGGGAUUUUAGAAUGAAUGUUAAUAAAAGCACGGACAAUGGCCAUCAAGUCUAUGACCAGCUGAACUGGAUCACUGUGGGGAGACUGUGAUUUACAGAUAGCUUCUCAUCCCUUUUACUGGCAGGCCAUCUUUACCAUGAGCACUGGGAGAUAGGUGGUGCGGGCGAAAAGACCUCUCAGAAAAUGUCAGCAACUGUCAGAACCCCAAAUUUCUUCCAUUAACUCGUUCUUUCCUCUGUGAUGCUACCUUCUUGAAACCCCUUAAUUACAUAACCCCUUUCUCCUGUCACCCAAUGUUUUGUAUCCAAGUAAAGUGUAUGACUUCAGAUCGUGUGGCUUUUUUUUAGCUUAAAAUUGUGGAUAACAAAACAAUCCUAGCCCCAUAUUUUUGCCCAUCUGAGCAAAAACAAACACACACAUGCACACUCACACACACAAAAGGAAACUGCAUUGACUGCAGCAGCUCUCCUUCCCUCGUGGUUUUCACUGGAGCCAGUUUCACUGUCUUAAUACCCUUAGUCCCUCAGCUGGCAUGUUGUCCAAGAACCCGCUGCAUUUUCAGAUUUGUAAAAUCCGUCAAAAUGCCUGUAAUGAAUCUUUCUACAGCCUCAAGUGUAUUUAACGUGCUGUUUGACCAGCCCAAAAGAAACCUUGUAAAGAUCUGCCACUAUAGGAACAGAGGAUCAGAUGAAACAGGUCAUUUUCAUUUGAACACAAUCCCCUAUAAUAAACAUGUAUUGUUUGGAUAUGCUGUUAAUUUCUUAUUAACAUCUUUCUUGUGCAUGAGUGUAUACGCCAUGUAAUAUACAUAUUUUUUGCUUUAGAAAAGUAACUACUGUUAUUAUUAUUAUCAGGUUUUUCCGUGUGUUUUGUUUUGUCUUUUGAUGGAUUAAAAGUCAUCUUAUGAGAUAGACGUGUGCUAUGCACUUGCAUUUUGCAGUUUGUUUUUUCUGUUAGCUUACACAGCCACCC